rnacentral:lncRNA from 10 species
GUGAAGAAACUGCUUGCUUCCCUCUCACCCUCUGCAGUUUCCUGAGGCCUCCCCAGCCAUGCGGAACGGGAGAAAGUUUAAGCUCUCCUCACUAUGAGUUUUCAAGUAUAAAAGACUUUUUCUUCCACGAUUUUGAGAACAACUGAGGACUCUUGUGACCAGGACAACAGGGAAGCUUGCAGCAAGAUAGCUCCAGGUUGGAUUCAUGCUUCGCACCCCAAGGGCUGCCAGCCAGAGAGGAGGAGAAGCAAUCACUCCUGCAGUUUCUGAACACUACACAGACGCCAGGUAGCUUCUUCAGGAGAACAGCCCUCUGAGGAGGCAGGAAGAGGAGGCUUAUCUUUCAGCAGCCGGAGCUGCUGAGAUCUCUGGGCAGAUUAAGCUCUCUCUAAUGGAUGGGCUCCAGCCUGGCACAUUCAGUGGAGAGGGAUCCACUCAUCCAUCAUCAACAUAAUAUGGUCCUCCCUGCACUUCACAGUGUCCUCUUGCUAUUGAAAAGGCUUUUUUGCCUUCUCAAGUUUCUUUGUCAACAGUCUACAGGAAGAAGCUCAGGCCGCCACCGGCAGAGGUGAAUGCAAGCUCACGUUUUAUUUCUGACUGCUUAAUCAUUGCCUCGAUCACUGCUCAAGCUCUGCCUUUGUUUCCAAAGGUUACCUGUGGGAAAACUUCUUUUUCUAUGCUGAAAUUAAUAGGGAGGCAAAGAUGAGUCCACUGAUAAGCAGAGCCUUAAAACUCACAUAGAGAAACAACUUUGCUGGAGUGUGUGUGAGUGAACCACUAAGGAAUCAGAUAGUGUGAUGGCAGUUAUCAUUGCAGGUUAAGACAUUUCUACAAAUAUUUCGACAUCUCCAUAUACUCACUCCUUUCCCCCCUGAGUGGAGAGACUCAGCUACCAAGAGAGGAAGCUCAAAAAAAACAGAAGCUUCAAACAAACAACCAACCAAAAAAAAAAAAAAACUGUGGGUUCAUCAGAGGUGGUAGGGAAGACAAAAACAUGGGAGGAGCAGCUGGGCACGGUGGCUCAAGCCUGUAAUCCCAGCACUUUGCGAGGCUGAGGUGGGUGGAUCACCUGAGGUCAGGAGUUCGAGACCAGCCUGGCCAACAUGGUGAAACCCCAUCUCUACUAAAAAUACAAAAAAUUAGCCGGGCGUUGUGGUACGCACCUGUAAUCCCAGCUACUCCGGAGGCUGAGGCAGCAGAAUCGCUUGAACCCAGGAGGCAGAGGUUGCAACGAGCCAAGAUCGCACCAUUGCACUCCAGCCUGGGCAACAAGAGCGAAACUCCAUCUAAAAAAAACAAACAAGCAAACAAACAAAAAACACGGGAGGAGCAAUAAAAAGGAAUCCAUGCUUUGAUUUUUUUUUUUAGUGAGAGGAAGGGAAGGCUGCUGCCUCUCACUUCUCCCUGUUUUGUUGUUCUUUUAAGUAGCAUGUGUCACUCUGUAUAUAUCCUGUCCAUGUGUUUUCUUUUAUUAUUAUUUGUCCACUUGCCUAGAAUGAAAACUCCAUGGGAGCAUGGCUAUAGUGUCUUGUUCACUCCUGCCUCUCCAGGGCCUGAAACAGAAGUAGGUAGACAGAGCCUGAAACAAAAGUAGGCAGUCCAUAAACUUUGCUGAAGGAAUGAGUGAAUGAAUGAAGACCCCAAGGAUGGACCUCAGGAAGGUGAGCCUGGGCAAAGGUUUUCAGUCCUAGUCCAUCAUGACCACAUAGCUGGAAUACACUUAUUUCACUUUGUCACAUGAAUUAGAGAUUCAUUUGGGGAAACAAGCAACUGUUAGAGUUGCAGACAUCUCUGAGGGGUAAAUGGCUGUUCAAAUCUUGCAUCUUACCCUGAUCCUCACUCUAUCUGCUUUCCAAAAACAUGGAGCUAAGAUCCCAGCACUGAGAAGAUGGGCAUUCCUAGCAGGGGGCAUUUAGGUGUAGACAGCCUCAGUGACUCCUGGGUUUAGGAUCAGUGAGAUAAUCUCCAGUAUCUACAGUGGGCAGGUGGAAGAGUGUCUGAUGCAAACUGUAUCUAUUUACAAGCUUUCCAGACAGCUGGGCUUGUGCCUUGGAAAUACAAUAAUAUUUGUUUCUCCUCCUUCCUCUUCACUCCUUGGCCUCGUGUUCUGCAGUACUGGAACCUGGGUCAGAUUUAGCUACCUCAUUCAUUCAUUUAUGAAUUCAUUUAGCCAGUGAUUAUGGAGCACAAAUUUGUGCCGGAAACUGUGCCUCAGUGUCCUCAACAGGUUCUGACUUGUGAAUUCCAAAAGCUUUUGUGAUCUACUGGGUAAAACAUUGUUUUCUAAGGAAAAUGACAUGCUGAUUGCUGAACAGCAUAUUCUAAUUACCUUGUGGAUCCCAGGCCAUUCUUAAAUUGGGUUUUGUCUUUAUUGCCUUAGACUGUUAAUGAAUUGUUUCCCAGUCUGAUUGAAUGCUCCUUGAAGACGGACCCGGGUCCAGCCACUGCAGUAAAUAUUGCUAACUUGGGGGUGUAAUUCUGCUGCUUUUGUGGUUGCUGCUUUGCUUAUUUUUUUAUGUCUGCUGUUUCCUGUGAGAUUGUUUCUGUGUUUCAUAUGUGGAUUGAUGUUCGGUGAGGUUUAUGGAAUUUCUGUGCAGCUUGGGUUAAGAGUAUCUCUUCAAAAAGGUUUUUGCAUUUGCUUCUGCCAACCUUGUUAUCAGCUCAAGUUGUUUCUUAUGUUGAAUUAUUGGGGAUGACCUCCCCCACACUCAAGUAGUAUAAAUUAGAACCUCGCUGGGUGUGGUGGCUCACUCCUGUAAUCCCAACACCUUGGGAGGCCAAGGUGCGCAGAUCUCUUGAGUCCAGGAGCUCAACACCAGCCUGGGCAACAUGGCAAAACCCUGUCUCUAGAAAAAAUGCAAAAAUUAGCCAGGCAUGGUGGCACAUGCUUGUAGUCCCAGCUAUUCGGGAGCCUGAGGUAGGAGGAUUGCUUGAGCCCAGGAGGAGGAGGUUGCAGUGAGCAUUUAUCAUGCCACUGCACUCCAGCCUGGGCAAUGGAGUGAGACCCUGUCCCCCAAAAAAUUUUUUUAAACUCAAACCCUAUGGUAUUAUACCUGCUGUGGGUAUAAUCCUUUAGUUACGAUUGGAUGCUUGCUAUGAUUUCUCAGAAGGAAAACAUUUUUUCCUACCCAGAGCUCUUUACAGCUAAGCAGAAUUUCCCCAAAUGUGCCUUUAAAAGGUAUUGGCUUAUGCAGGCUUCUCAGUUUGAUGUCUUGUUCCUGAAUGAGCAAUGAAACCCCAAACGGACAACCUUGCCCUCAAGGACAGCCGAAGUAUCAGAUACUCCUUGCAACUCCUUAUGUCAGCUCACACUCCAUUUGUGGACAUGGAGCAUUUCCUUCCUUUUUUCUUUUCCUUUUGCAAAUCUAGUUAUGCAUUUAAAAGGAUGCAAUGUACCCAUUAUUUCCAGGUGUUUUAUGGCACUAAUGUGUAUGGCAGAAAUGGGUGUUCUCUAAUUGUUCAUAAUUCAAGGUAAUUAUAGACAUAUUGUUUCAAAAUUAAAUCAAUAGAUUUUCAAGCCAUGCUAUGUAUAAAGCUCCAUGCGGGACACAAAAAGGGAAAAAACACUAUGUACCAUGCACCCUUAAGCAAUUUCACACAUGCUGUCUUAUCUAAUUUUCACGACAGUCUUAUGAGACAGUUAUUAUCCCCAUUUUAUAGAUGAGGAAGCUGAGGCUGCAUGAUGAGUGGCUUGCUCAAAGUCACAUAUCUAAUCAAUAAGACAGCUGGCAUAAAACCCAUAUCUCACUCGAAAGUCUGUGCUUUCCCAUUGCACAGGUUCAUGACAUAGUCCAAGGGAGAAGACAUAGCUGACAAAAGGAUCAAUAGCAGUGUAAGAGUAGACAAAUAAAACAAUAAGGACUGCAUUGCAAUAGAUGUUAUGAAGAGGGACGGACAUGAUUCAUUGCUAGUGAAUAUAGGCCAAAGGGCUAUAACUUCAGAGUAGGCAGAGAUUUGUGGGCCACAGUGGGAAAGAUGGAGGAGAAAGUUAGCUUGGGCCUUGAAGAUAUUGUCUCAGUGAAUGAAGGGGAGAAGACCAUGCCUGGCAGUGGAGAGAGCACAAGCAGAAGGUGGGAAAGCGUGUGCAGGUUAUGGGCUCCAUGAGUAGGUAGGUCAUGGCUAUAUACAAGUAUGCUGGGAGAUAAGAUGGGGAAAGUUUGAGUCCAAGUAUGGAGGGCUUUGAUUGGUAAUGAAUUUGGAUUUUAUUUGGUAGGCAAUAAAGAACCCCAGAAGACUUUUGCCUAAAGAAUGAUGUAGCUGAGGCAGUACUUUAAAAAGAUGUGUAUGGAAAACCAUGUACAAAUUAAUUGUCAGGGGAGAGAAUGAAGGAAAGGAGAGAGCUUGGAUUAAGGGGAAGCAGUGAAAAUCAAAUGGAACAGAUGGAUACCUAGAUAUUUCUCAUACUGAGGGUGCCAAGGCCAAUUGUUCUUAAUUAAGCACCAAUCUGGUUGAUUCCAUGGGAAUUUGAGAUGUCAUCAAGGUAUAUUGCUAUUGUCAUCUUCCACAGACUGAGCACCAGUCAGGCCACUGGGUCUGAGUCCCUGGGGCUGGAGCGGGUCCAGUGGGCAAUUUAUUAAAAGUUGCCAGGAGAAGAAGGGUGAAUGCAGGCCACAUCCUGGGAAACACACACUGAACGUCAAUGCUGGAGAAUUCUGAGUUGUACCUCUAAGUUCAUGGAUGAGCAUGAUAUAAGGAAGGGAAGGCAAAAAUAAAAGUAGAAAGACAGGUACUGAAGUAUUGUAAAUGAACGGGUCCAGUAUUUGUGAAUGGAACCCACAACUUGUUUUAAUUAGCUUUAAGGUGUCUAGUACAUUGUGGGUCAGCUUAGUUUAAAGAUAUAGGACUAAGGCGAGCAGCUUUAACAUCUGAGCUGAAAGGGAUAUAAAGAUGACAUACCCUCUUCUAAACUUCCACGACUCUACCACAGCACUUAUCAUAAUGCAUCAUGAUUAUCAAGUUUUAUAUCUGUCUUCUCACUAGACUGUGUACUCUCUGUGGGCAGGGACUGUGUCCUGUUUAUCUACAUUCCUGGCAUCUGGCACAAAGCCCAGCACAGGGUAGAUGCCCAGCUAAGAGUUAAUGAUGGCUUGGACCAGGGUGAUAGCAGUGGGAGUGGUGAGAAUUGAUCAGUCUUUAAAUACAUUUUGAAGAUAAAGCCAAACGGGUUUCCUAAUGGAUUGGCUAUGGAGUAUGUAAGCAAGAGAGCAGUGAAGAAUGACGCAAGGAUUUGGGUUUGAGGAACUAGAAGGUAAAGUUGCAAUCAUCUGAGAUGGAGAAGGCUGCAAGCAGAACAGGUUUCAGAGAAAAGAUGGCGGGUUCACAUUUGAACAUGCUGAUGCUGGGUGUCUAUUAUGUUCAAGUGGAGAUGGCAAGUGGCAGUGGUUUCUUACAUUUGAAAUCUGAGAGAGAGGUUUGGGCCAAAGAUACAAGUUUGGGAGUCAUCUGCAUAAAGAUGGUAUUAAAGAGUUCUAAACGGGGUGUUAUCACCAGGGGAGUAAGUGUAGACAAAGAAGAGCGCCAAGGUCUGAGUCCUGGAAUAUUACAACACUCAGAAUCUGUGAGAAGAGGAAACACCAGCAAAUAAAACUGAUAAAGAGCAGCCAAGGAGAUAGGAAAGAAACUAAGAGAAAGGGGAAGUCCUAGAAGCCAAGUGAAGAGAAAAUAUAGCAAGGAGAAGGGGGAUCAACUGUGUCAAAUGCCACUGAUACUCAAGUAAGAUGAGGAGUGGGAGCUGCCCAUUAGAUUUAGCAUGUGAAGAUCAUUGAUGUCCAUGAUAAGACUUGGGUGCCUGGUUGGGGCAAAAGCCUGAGUGGGGUGAGUUUAAGAGAAAAUAGGAGGACAGGCAUUGGAGACAAGCAGUACAGACAACUCAUUAUAGGAGUGCUACAAUGAGAAGCAUCUAAAUGGGGUGGAAGCUGAUGGGCAAAGUGGGAUUGAGAGAAGCCACUUGUUCAUUUAGAUGGAAGAAACAUCAGCGUGUUUGUAUUCUGAUCCAGUACAAUGAAAAGGCUAAGAGCUUAGACCUGCUAAGCUCACAUACUCAGGCUUCCAUCUUCUAGUGAUGACUCCUAUUGUGAGUUCAUUGAGGAUGAGAGCUAAAUGUCUACCCUUACCUCUUGACAUAAGAUAUAUAGAAGAUGCUUAGCAAAUAUUUAUCAAAUAAAUGACUAUGCAUAAAAUACUUUGCAAACUCUCUGAGCCGCAGUUUCAUCUGUUAAAUGAAAGUAAUAUCACCUACCUCAGAGAAUUAAAUAAGAUAAAGUACAUAUAGUAUAUAACAAAGAGCUUAGUACUUAGUAUAUGCUCAGUAAAUAGUUAGUUUUAUUGUUAGUUCAAUGCUUUCAUUUUACAGAUAAGGUAUCUGAGGCCCAGAAAAUAGUUUGUUCAAGAUUGCACAGUUAAUGACAGAGCUACCAGUUUCCUAGACUCAUAUUCCUUAGCUUUUUCCACAUAACCAGAGAAUUUACCUACAAUUCCCAGGUACCACAGAUGUGGGUGCUUUCAAGCCUCUGUAAAUUCACUAAGUUGAUGAGAAACCUGGAUAUUAGUAAUUAAUGGCAGAUCUGAAAUCUCUCUAGAACCUUCCUAUGUGGCCAACAUAUGUCUUCCUGUCUAAUUUGUCAAGAUACUCUGCAAAGUCAAUCCUAGUACAAGGCUCCAUAUUCAUCUUGAAGCUUUUUCUUGUUUUACCAGAAUUCUGGUUUUAAUUUUUUGAGUAGCAAUCCAUGUUACUCUUUACAUACCCAAGUCAAGGGACAAAGCUAAGCCACAUGCUUGUUUUGUUCAUUAUCCAAUAUUAUGUAAGUCUAGAUGACUGACUCCAUUAGUUUAACUCCAGGUGACAAUGUAGAUAUAGAU